rnacentral:lncRNA from 1 species
GCUGACUCCAUCCAGUGCAGGAGUGGGGGGGGGCAGGGAUUUGCUGACUCAACACCUAACAACUCACCAAAAACUCCCUAAGUGGUCCUCCAGCCCAAAGAAUUGCCCAUCCCUGGCUUAGUAGCUCUGACUCACUGGCUUCUAAUUUUCUUGCAGUUUUAUUUGGCUCCAGAGGAGGAUGCAUUCAGCAUUGAGGAAAAUUACUGUUAAAUCUUUACAAGUCAGUAGACAUAAAGAUCAAGAUUUUCAGAGGCUGAUGAAACCCUUCUUGAGGCACUUGGCUGAACAUCUUCAUUUGAAAACCAGGAAGUUACCUAAGAGGAGUGAAGCCCUUUGGGGAUUGCUUAGUACUUGGGGCUUUUGGAAAUCAGGCAAGUGUCUAAAUACAGAUGUAUAUAAGAAAUUAACUUUAGAUUCAUAUUUUUUGGAAAUCUUAGCCUGUAUUUAUUUUUCUUUUUGUGUUUUCAGAUUGAGCACAAAUUGUUUCAUAGUAAUUAUGUCCUGAACAAAUAUUUACCUUAAUGAGGUUCUUGCUACUUUAGUAAUGAGGUGGGGUAUUGAGGUAAGAAUGAGCUGGAAAUUACUGUACUGAACAACAGGGCACUGGUGGUCAGUUGGAUUGCACAAUACCUAAAUCUACUCAACCCUCCUUUUAAGAGGAGGCCCCUGUAGAAGUUUCUAAUCACGAGUGUAACCACUUUACUUGUGAUCAAUUUUUUCAGCUUCCUGGGUUCAUCUGCUGAAGUGUCCUUGCAUAACUACUUCAGUAAAAUAAGCCUAUCUGGACUGUUGAAUUACCUGCUCUGUGGUCCUCAAAUGCUGUUAUUCCCUAGCUGCUAGAUGUCUAGAGGGCAACAGCAUCCUAGAUGGACCUUCUGGAAAAUUUGAGAAGUAUCCUGUGAGACAUCUUAAUGGAUCCCACACCAUGAUGGAGCUGAACAAUAGUGUAGAGAAGUUCUAUCCAAUUUAUUUGGCUUUGUGGUCUGGAUCCAGAUUGCAGGGCUUCUUGCAGGCAAGAUGACCCCCCUCUGGUGGCAGGACAGUGGCUUGUCAGUGUAGCCAGCAGCACUGUUGCGUUGGCGUGGCUCUGAAAUCCAGGGGGUGAACAUUGCCACCUCUUUUCCCCAGCCACCAGUUUGAGUGACAAGCAGUAACUGAAGUCCGUGAACUUGGCUGUGGAUGGGAGUACAGGGGCAAGCAGCACCACUGUUCACACCUGGGGUCUGAAGCCAUGCCAAUACAGUAGCUCUGGCAGCCAUGCUGACAAGCCUUGUGAGUCAUAACUUAACACCUUGCAGGCUGCAUGCAACCCACGGGCCACCAGUUGGACAACCUUAGUGUAGAGAGUACCAUCUUCCAAACUCCUUGAUAAUAAGGCCUUUGGUCUCAGUUUUUUGGGGUAGAUUUCUACCCAUUGGCUGGUUUGCCAGUUCCAUAGCCGUAGAUAUCACCAUCAUGAAACUGACCUUGAAUAUAUUAGAAUAAGGACAAUGGGCCAAAUGCUUAGCUGGUGUAAACUCCACUGGCUGAAAGCAAUGCAUGAAGCAUGGGGAAAACUGGCCCUAUUGAAACCAAAGGGAGUUUUACUGUUGACUUCAGUAAGCACUGGACGUUAUUCUUUGUGCAUAUAGUCAGUGAACUUCUUACAUGCAGUUUAUACUGACUGAAGCCCUGGCUCACUGAGUUGAGACAGUCUGCAAAAAUGUCUGCACUUGAUUUUCCAUUACUGUUUUGCAGUCAAGUAACAAAUAUGUUUGCCUAAUUUAAAAAAAAGUAUUUGUUUUUCUUUCUCUCCUGUCAGCUAUCAGAGAAACUAGGAUUAUGAGAAUGGUGGACUAGCCAACAGGAAAAUUUCAGCCUUUCCAAUUUCCUGUUCUAGGCAGGUAUGCUACCUUCAUGAAACACUCCCUACUGAUUAAAGUAAUUGUUGACUUGAAGUUUUCCAUGGAGUCUCUAACAGUGCCGCCUGCUGAGCUGUUCUGUAUCUCCCUGUUUCUAAUUGCGAUUGAAAUCCUUUUAACUCUUUUCCUAAACAGCAGACAUGCACAAAGCUACUUAGAAAAUGAUAAAUGCCCAUCUUUAUAGUCCUUUCAAUGGCAAAACAGACAAAAAUGUUGUUGCCUUCUUUUUCUACCUUAAUAAAUAAACUAUAUCAUUCA